UACGAAGGGGGCUAGCGUUGUUCGGAUUUACUGGGCGUAAAGCGCACGUAGGCGGAUCGUUAAGUCGGGGGUGAAAUCCUGGAGCUCAACUCCAGAACUGCCUUCGAUACUGGCGAUCUUGAGUCCGGAAGAGGUGAGUGGAACUCCUAGUGUAGAGGUGGAAUUCGUAGAUAUUAGGAAGAACACCAGUGGCGAAGGCGGCUCACUGGCCCGUUACCGACGCUCAGGCGCGACAGCGUGGGGAGCAAACAGG
rnacentral:rRNA from 1 species